UACGGGAGGCAGCAGUGGGGAAUAUUGCACAAUGGGCGCAAGCCUGAUGCAGCCAUGCCGCGUGUACGAAAAAGGCCUUCGGGUUGUAAAGUACUUUCAGUCGUGAGGAAGGUGUUAAGGUUAAUAACCUUAGCAAUUGACGUUAGCGACAGAAGAAGCACCGGCUAACUCCGUGCCAGCAGCCGCGGUAAUACGGAGGGUGCGAGCGUUAAUCGGAAUUACUGGGCGUAAAGGGCACGCAGGCGGUUAAUUAAGUUGGAUGUGAAAUCCCCGGGCUUAACCUGGGAAUGGCAUUCAAGACUGGUUAGCUAGAGUCUUGUAGAGGGGGUAGAAUUCCGAUGUGUAGCGGUGAAAUGCGUAGAGAUGUGGAGGAAUACCGGUGGCGAAGGCGGCCCCUGGACAAAGACUGACGCUCAUGUGCGAAAGCGUGGGGAGCAAACAGGGAUUAGAUACC
rnacentral:rRNA from 1 species